rnacentral:snoRNA from 12 species
UGGCUCGGUUUCCUGGGGGGUGGGCUCAGCCUACCUCACCUCCCCUCAGACGAGCCUAGAGUGGAGGGGCCAGGCACCCUCCUCCGUGGAGAGGCGUUUAAGUAAAGAGCCUCGCCUGGGCUGUCCGGGCCUCACAGUU